ACUAAAACUACAAUUCCCAGGAAGCCCAGCGGCGCAGAUCGCGCUGUGUGGCGGGAGUGCCCUCUGAAGUUCCGCCUUCUUCAGCUAGUGAUGGGAGCUUUCCCGCGGAUGGGUAUGGCGGUGAGAGUUCAUUUAAAGCGUCGUCGCCACAGAAAGCGGCUUAGAGACUUAGUCGCCACAGAAAGAGGCAUUUCGCCGUGAGAUGCUGUGCGCCUGACAGAUGCAUCUGUCAUAGUUAAGCCUCUAGGUUUAAGUGUAAUGUUUGAAGAUUUUUGAAUCCUCACUGGUACCGUCCCCCCGCGACAAAAACCUUAAAAAAAAAAAAAAAAUGGCUUCUACUGUUUCCACCCGCAUGUUCGCUGUUGCUCCUGAGGGUGACCGGCGGUGCGGCUUUCUAGAAGAUUCUGAUGAAUAUUUAGCCGCUUUCUCAUUCUCACCGAAAUGAGUUCAAGAUGGUGCAGGUUAAUUGGCUGUUACUGAAACUAGGGUCUGCCAGAGGGAAUUCUGUAAACUGCCCACACAGCGUUUUGUGAGGUGGGAGUGACCCUAACCGACCUCCCUGCGCUUCGGGGAGGUGUUGUACUUCUUGGGCCCUUCACGAAGUAAAGUCCCUUUCUGCCAGAAGGCCCUGUAUCUUUUAAUUUUCAUUAAAAUUUUUUCGAAUUGAGGUGAAAUCCACACAAUGUAAAAGUAACCACUUUAAGGUGUACAAUUAAGUGGCAUUUGGUACAUUCACAAUGCUGUGCAACAAUCACCUCUAUCUAGUUCCAAGUUAUUUUCAUCACCGCAAAAAGAAGAAUUGUUGGCACCUGGAUGACUAAAUCUUCAAGUUACCGUAAAUCAAGAUCACAAGCCAAAAAGUAACAUAGGAAAUAAAAAGGACUGGAUCAUUUUACAGUUUUACUCAGUUUGAUUGCAGAAGUCUAUGUAGG